GCCUGGGUGGCUCAAUCAGUUGAGCAUCUGACUUCGGCUCAGGUCAUGAUCUCGCGGUUCGUGGGUUCAAGCCCUGCAUCGGGCU
rnacentral:tRNA from 1 species